UUACCUUUGGAUGCCAAGUGCUUACCAGCAGGGUACCUAUUGCGUGCUCCUCGCAACUACACUUGACAGAGAGAUGGGACGAUGACGUGUCAAAGCGAUCUCCGUCGAUGUCCCCUCUAUUCACGGAAAAUCUGAACCGUUCGUUUCUACCCUAAUUUUCCUUAAAUUGCAGGCUCAGGGAGACGAUCAGAGUCCUCGUUCACCUCUCCCAUUGCAGUUGCUUGGGAUUCAAUUUUCUGUUUAUAUUGUUGCUGCAUAUGCUGUAGUAACAGACUUUUGGCUAUUAGCUUUGGUUUUCAUGGCGUCUUUUUGAGCUUCUGUUCGUCUCUUCAGAAGAUUUUAUGGCGAGUACUCUAGAGGCUGAAGGCUUUGGCGUCAAAUUAUCGGCUGACUGUAACACGUAGUGAAUAAUUAUCUGGUUUCAUAGUUGUGAUCAUUGCUCUCUUGUCAGAUCUGUUAGAUCAGCCGGCGUCCAUAGAUCUGGACUCUCUAACAGAUCUGGAAGCGACCUGCACUCUAGUCAUAGAUAGGGGUUGGAAUUUACCUUACAUGCUUUCUGGAGGAGGAAAUAUGUUAGAUCUGUGUAAAUAUUCACUGGUUUGAAGAGCUGAAGGGCUGAUUUGCCUUACACGCUUUCUGGAGGAGGAAAUAUGUCAGAUCUGUGUAAAUAUCCUCUGGUUUGAAGAGCUUCUUACUUUACACACUUUCUGGAGGAGAAAAUAUGACAGAUCUGUGUAAAUAUCCUCUGGUUUGAAGAGCUUUUAAGGUGUAUAUGGCGUUGCCUUUGCAGGUGCGCUUGCAGGCAGGCCAUGCUAUCUUAAUAUAAACUAUUUUUUUGACUUUGGGGAGGGGUGAAGCCCUUCCCUUGCCUGCGUGCCGCUUUUUUGGCCGGGGCUUUGUUUGUUGCUUGGUUGUGUUUUGUUUGCUCUUUUGAUGGUGUGCUUCGUUGUUUGAGAUGGAUGCUUCAUUAUGCUUCUCUAUUGCUGGUAACAAAGAAACUACAAACGAUCCAACUGAAGCCUCUUUAUUCGCGCGAUCUUACCACGAAUCAGGUACGUUGUCUGACACAAUUUAUAGGCGCAGCUGUUCAUUUCUUCGUUUCCUUUUAAAUUUCAAUUUAAUAAUGGCAUUUAAAAGUACAUUUAAGGGUUCAAAAAAUGUUUUUAAGGCACCUGACACUUGUUACGUGCAGAGUGCAGGAAAUCGCAUCUAAUCUUUUGGAUUUUCAUGUAUGAAUUAUAAAUGAUAUUUAAUUUUUUUUUUGUAGACUGAAGUUUUUCAUAAUGAGUUUUUACGGGAUGCGGAGAGUUAUUUGGUUUAUAUGUCUUUGGAAAUGGAAAUUGUAUCAAGGUCUGAAAAUCGUAAAUUUAUUAUAUAUCGAGGCUCACUAAGGAUAUGAUCUCUUUUAUAGAUGGACCAUUUAUGUUAUACCGAAGUGGAUAGUCUCUUUUACAGAUGUACUUUAUGCUAAGGUUAUGUGAAAAUUGUAAAUGUUAAUUGUAUGACAAAGCUCAUUAAGGAUACCCUCCGUUAUAUAAUAUUUUACAAAAGAUGCAUAAUCAUUGUUGUGAAACAAUUAAUAAACGCCUUACAGAAGUUUUGACUAGCAUCACAAAGCUUUUUAUAACUGUUAUUAUAUAUCCAAGAAAUAUAGCAUUUAUAUGAUUUGGAAACUCUAAAUCAGUUGGCAUUUUGUUUUCGUUUUAAAUUGAACAUAAGAAAGUUCUGAUAAACCAAUUAAAUAACACUGUUUGUGUUUGGAAUAUUAUAUACCAAUUUUCAGAUUGUACUGAAUCAAAUGUGAGUAGUCUUUAUGUAGUAUUCUUUGUCUUCAAUGACGACCGAUAAACUGCCUGAUUAGCGUUGCAGUUUGAACGCCGAAAUAACUGUAAUGCUAUGUAUGGCAACGACAUAAAUAUAUUUUCAUGUAUUCUUAUAGAGAUAUUGGGUCCAAUUUGGGCUCUUUCCGGACAAGGAAAGUGUUUAAUGGGAAGUUGCAUUAUAUGAUAUUCAUAUAAGACAUUUACUUGAGGUUAGACAAUGGCAUUCCAGUACUUAUUUUUGACCAGUUUUGGCUUCUUCUUUCAAAGAUUUGGCCCAAGUCUAUGCAGAGGUUAGCAUGUAGAUGGAUGAGCUGAGCUAGGAAGCUGAACGAUGAUACAUGCCGGAUAGUUGACAAUCAACGUGCAAGCGACAGACGAGUAUUUGGAACAGUUAUGCUAAUUCUCCUGCAGAGGUUAGCAUCAAGCCCGACGAUCAAGGAAGCUGAAUGAUGCAUGGUGAAUAUUUGGCAAUCAAUGUACAAUUUGACUUUAAGUAUCUGAAAAGUUUAUAUAUGGCUUACUGAAUUGGGAAGUUGAGUGAUAGAUAGUGGGAGAUUGACAGAAUAAAGGUGAAUGUGGAACCUGAACAGAGUGAAGGUGCAACCGACGGUUUGGUUAAAGUCUAAUUCAGAGAUGGGUAUGUGGCCGGUUGAACAGGGAGCUGAGUGAUAGAUGGUGGAAAUUUGGCACCCAAGGUACAAUGGACAGACAGUCAGGUUUUUGGAGGAGCGAGACUGCCAUCAUUUUCUCAGUUGGAUGCUUUCUCGCUCUCAUGCAUGUGCUUUGUGCUUCUGACAAUGACCGUUUCAGUACUAAGUCAAUCGUAAGUUUGUAUGGACGGAGCUUAUGGUAUUAGCUAGAAUUACUUUUUUUGCUACUAUGACGAGAACUCGGCAAGUGAAUUAGGAAGCGAAUCUCCAAACGCUGAGAAUUUCAUGGACCUUGUUUGUCUCUUGAUUUUUCUGGGUGUGUUUUGGGAUGAAUCUGUGGGAUUUUAAAACUAUAACUAUAGGCUAGCUACUAGCUAACAAUCGCUUCCAACGCUGAGAUUUUCAUUGACAUUUGCUUGUCCCUUGAUUUUUCUGGCUGUAAUAUGUGAACGGAAAACUGUAGCUAACAAACAAAUAAACAAUCAAAACUGUUACAAUAA